UAUCCUAUCUCCCAACCAACUCCAAGCUUCAUCCCGUUGUGAUCUUCUCUUCUCCCGUUCGGAUCAAGCAACCAAUAUCACCCUCAAACACAAAGAUA